ensembl:lncRNA
GCACACCCUCUAGUCCAGGCCGUGGAGGGACCAAAAGGAUGGGACGCAGCCCUGCCCUCCGAGUUCACACAGGAGCAGGGGACACAGCUCUGCCCUCCGAGUUCACACAGGAGCAGGGGACACAGCCAGGCAGGGAUGGCGUGCAGCGUGGUGAGUGGAGUGGCUGCAGGACCACUGGAAACCUACCCGAGGGGACUUUCAACUUGGCCAGUCUGUUGAGAAAGGGAAGAAAUGGGAGAUACACAGCCAUGGAGACCCUCAGCCCACAGCCCUGGAAGCUCUGGGUGACCCUCCAGACAGCGGCCCCACCUCGGGAGCAGCGGUGCCCUGAGGACGCUGGCCACAGAGCAGCUCGGCUCAGGGCUGACCCUCACAGCCCCAGCAGCCUGAGAUUCCCGCCUCCCAGAAGAAUCGGGGAACUGGCUCCCACCCUAGAAAAGCCUGUCUCUGGGUCUGGAAGGCUCAAGGCAGGGGACCGCCCUUGCAUGCCUGACACCUCAUCUAAAGGCCUGGGGGGCAGUUCUAGGGAACAGGCCCCUGUAAAUCAGCUGGUCUGCUUCUCCUGGGCUGCAGCCCUUCUCAAGGCCUCAGAGACCCCAAGGCCCCACCCUCCUCCCCAGUUCUUCUCUACAUCUGCUCUCUGUCUCCUCCACCCAUCCCACUUGCAGAGCGGCAGUGAGAGCGGGGAAGGACACAGACUUGGGAGGCAAACCACCUGGCUUGAAUCCCACCUCUGCCACCCAAUGGCUGAGUGGACCUUAAGCCUCAGGCUCCACAUCUGUAAAAUGGAUUAGUAAUAACAACAGUACCUCAUCCCAGGGAGGCUGGAAUGAGUUAAUACAAGGAAAGGCCUCAGGGCGG